rnacentral:lncRNA from 1 species
ACAAACAUUACAAUAGGAGCAUACACCACAGAGGCCAUUAGCUAGCAUACCAAAAAUUUAGAACCAAUUGCAACCAAAAUCAGACGAAAUUGUGUAUGCCCGCAAUUGCUACAAUGCACAAACGAAAUCACAAAGAAGCAUAUGAACCUACAUAAUCAUGCCUUCACGGCAAUGCCACAAAAUCAAAUAUGCAAUCAUUAUUCCACAAUUCAAACAAAAAAGAUGGAGAACCGAAUAUUGUCGGCCAAACUUACACGACGGCUAGAUCAGUUCCAAUGCCCUUCGCCGUCCACCCUCACACCCCGCUGAAACCCUAGCAGCGCGCCGUAUCGCCCAACUCAAUUAAAUACUACAAUACAGUAAUCGAAUCAGCGACAGUUCACAAACCAUGGAAGAUUGAAUGAAUCACUCACAGACAUUCAAUAACAACGUGGGAAUGUCGAAGGAUACAUUGUCGUGCUCUCAUUUGUAAGGAUACACCGUGCGUUUUUCGGUUACAAUAAGGAGAUAAAAAAAAUUAAGACAAGGGUCAUUGUAGCAUAACGCUGCUGUAAGCCUGUAACCGAAGGCCACCCCGCAAACGUUUUCAAAGUGUAACAGUGUUUUAUGCUCGGGCCAAGCCUUAAAUUCGAGCAUCCAUCUUUUGCUACCUUACUCACCAAACAAAGAGAUAUUGCCGAUUUGCUAAGCAAUAUACCCGCAACCUGGCUUUCAAAGAGAGCCUAAAGGUCCUCGAUUCAAGUUCACUGUGAUGCAGUUUUAAAAUUUCUUUAUUUUAAAAAAAAAGAGCAUACAUGUAUUAGGGAUGUAAAUCGGGCCAAUCCACCGGAUUUCGGGCUAGCCCUAUCGGGUUACGGGUUAUUCAGGUACGGGUUAAUCGGGUUGAAAAAAGUUUUAGGUUAAAAACUUUCAACCCUAACCCUAAAUGUUCGGGUUAGCUCAUCGGGUUAGUAAUAUAUUUCUCUUGACAAUAUUAUAUUUGUAAUAAAUAAAUACACUCAUAAAUAAGUAAAAUUUCAACAUCGACUUAUAUAAUAAAGAUAUAAUGAUGCAACAUUAUCGGCAGCAUCAUGUAUGAGAUACUAGUUGAUUUGAUUUAUUUACUGAUUGAGGAUCUUCCUCAACCCUCACCAUGGGUGUUUUGUAUUUUUUAAAUAUAUAUAUAUAUAUAUAUAUAUAAAAUUAUAAUUAUUAAAUAAUUAUUAUUUUUUAUAUUGUUAUAUCUAAAUAUUUUAUGUUAGAUAUUGUAUUAAAAAUACAGAAAAGUGAAAUGAUGAGACUUUGUAAUAUUUUAUCAUUUUUUAAUUUUUAUAUCUAAAUAUUUUAUAUUAAGUAUCCAGAUUUCGGGUUAGCCCAUCGGGUUAGUCGGGUCGACCCUAUCGGGUGUCGGGCUAGUCGGGUUGUAAUUUUUAUCGGGUUAAAAAUUUUCAACCCUAACCCUUUCCGAUUGACGGGUUAAUCGGAUCAGCCCACAGGUUUCGGACUGGAUUGACAUCCCUAGCUGAAGCUAUGCAAGAAAACACAUUCACAAUACUUAUAAAUACUCACCAUCUCUUCCAAAUCAAUCUGAAUAUUAUUACGAAAAAACAAAAGCAAAGCUUGUAAAUAUUAUUAUAUACGUACCAAUAGCGUGGAGGGAGACGGUGACUCGAGCUGCUGUUCCAGGCGACGGCUGACACAGCGUCGUGGUGGAGCCGCGAGUGG